GACGAACGCUGGCGGCGUGCCUAAUACAUGCAAGUCGAACGGAGAUACGCGCUGAAGAUUUAGCUUGCUAUUGAUUCUUGUGUAUCUUAGUGGCGGACGGGUGAGUAACGCGUGAGCAACCUGCCUUUCAGAGGGGGAUAACGUUUGGAAACGAACGCUAAUACCGCAUGACAUUAUUUUGCCGCAUGGUGAGAUAAUCAAAGGAGCAAUCCGCUGAAAGAUGGGCUCGCGUCCGAUUAGGUAGUUGGCGGGGCAACGGCCCACCAAGCCGACGAUCGGUAGCCGGACUGAGAGGUUGGACGGCCACAUUGGGACUGAGACACGGCCCAG
rnacentral:rRNA from 1 species